rnacentral:rRNA from 1 species
UACGUGCGAGGCAAGCGUUACUCGUCAUUAAUGGGUCUAGAGGGUACGUAGGCGGUAUAGUUUAAUCUAGAAUAAACACAGUUUAAAUAUGUGAUAGAUAUUACUAUUCUAGAGUCAAAAGGAGUAACAAAUAGAACGAGUGGAGUGUAAAAAAUACCUAGAUACUCGAGGGGUUGCGAAGUGGCGAAAGCAUGUUACUAUUGAGACUGACGCUGAGGUACGAAGGCAUGGGUAUCGAUCGGG